rnacentral:lncRNA from 1 species
GAUGAGAGGAACACAUGUGGGGUAUGUGUAACACUUGAGCACUCUCUCUAAUGUUCCAGAACUUUGCUCCCUCUUCUCCUUUCUUCGAGGACAAGCAUAAACCUACCCGACAGUGCCUUCCGAGUAAGCCUCGGGAGCUAUAUUUUCUAUAUUUUGAAUUUGAGAUUUCGAAAAGACAAUUUACUUAUAAUUUAAUUUGGUACAAUGAUCCACAUAAAAUACACAAAUAAGUCUUGUAUGAACUCGACUUAGAACUUAGAAGAUGUUGUUCAAGCUUAUGGUAUGAUGGUUACGAUACAGUACUCCACUAAUAAGUCAUCCUAAUAUAUGCACACCUUCACUGAAUUUUGUUUUCAAUUAAUUCUUGAGGGCCAAUGAAAGCGACCACUCUUCUUAGCCUAUUCUUGUUUUGUCUGAGCAAUUUUUCAUCUGAUUAGUCACCACUAGCAAUCGAACACGUCGCCCAUUUUAUUCUCUGAUGAGUAAUAGAUUGGCAAUUGGAUAUAGACGCUACACAUUGAACUAGUUAUGAGUAUUUAGUAUAGCACACUAUUUGCACAAAUAAAAUAAAUAAUUAUUGGAUGAUGAAAAUAAUACAGUGGAUGAGUUUCACAACGUAUUUAACAUCAACACAACAACUAGUUAGUAACAACUGAAUGCAUAGAAAAUUUCACAUUAAUUCUGCCCAAUUUGCGAAGAAAAUUAUUUACUAGUUCUAAGCAUAUACUGCUAAUUCGAUAAGCAUAAGAUAGUCACAAUCCCACAAAUGUAAAGCAAUUUAUAGGCCUAACUAGGAUAAGACUUAUCUUUGGCAAUUCAUAAUUGCAAAAUGUAAAGUGCAGUUUAAUGAUGAUUGAUGAUUGAAAGCAAGAAACAGCACACUAACACACAGUAUCUUUCUUUGUUCCAAAAUACACUAAUUGAUUAAGAUAAGCACCUUAUUCAAAAUAAAAAACAAAGAUUAGUGGGUGGUUCUUACACUCAGCAAUUCCUAGGUUGAAUCUGUUUUAUGUUAAACUAAAUUAUAUUAAAAUUUGUACCAAUUCCCAUAAAUCAUGGAUCAAGAAAUAUUGUUGACUGUUUUAAAAAAACAGUGCUAUAAAAGCUUGUCUAGGCCUUAAAGGGAGGAAUAUGAGAAAGGGAAGCAACAACAAAUCCAUAUUUUUAUUCUUCUUUUUAGUGUCGUAGCAACACUUUCUCAAAGUGUGUGCAUGAUCUGAUCUGAUUUCACCGACCUGAAAAUUUUCUGAAAUCUAUGGAUUUUAUGCAUAUAGUAUUGUUCAUUUCUACUCCUAUUUCAUGUCUUAUUUUACAAAAUUUAAGCUACAUGCCUACUUAAUAACACUUACUAAACACACUUAUAAUCAUCACUUUUAUUAUUUGUUACUCCCUUCAUCCCCAAAUAACUUCUUUUAUUAUCAAAAUUUGUAUAUUAAGAUAGUUGAAAUGAGAUACUUAUUCAUAAAGAAUGUUCAUUUUCAAAUAGGACACUUAUUCGAAGACACAUGAAGUGCUUGUGAUUUUUGAAUCUUGAUAAGCUUCUUGUAUGUAAGGUAAAACAACAAUAAAUAUUGCAAUCAAUAUACCCCUCUAAAAUAACCUUUCUUCCUACCUCAGAAUCACCUAAAGAUGACAUUUUUUUUUCGAUUCCCAUAAUCUCGUCCUUGGGUUCAAGACUUGAAGUGAUGUUUCACAAAAGAAACACACAACUACGAGCACAAAAACAGCAUUAUAGGAUAGGCCAAUGGCAUCAAAUAUCAUUUGCAGUAAAGAAAUUUGACUGCUCGACCACCCAAAUUCACUACAUACGUGGCACAAAUGGUUUCAAUAUGUAAAAACAAUCAAUGCCUAAUUGCAAAGAGCAAUGACCCACCAAAUUCAGCUACAAGACAGAUAGCAGUUUAUAUAUAACAGCAGCCUCUGCAACAGCCACCUAUCUUGUUACUAAUAAAUUUGAGCUGCCUACGUAUCUCUCUCUCUCUCUCCUAUUAUUUGAUCAUCAUCAUCUCAUUCCCCAAUUCUCCACCACCCUCUUUUAUCACCUCACUCUUCUGCUUCACUCUCAAACCUUCUAAAAACCUCUUGUUUUUUUAACAAUUUUUGUUUUCAUAAAUUCUUGCUCAAUGUGCUGUUUUUUUUAAUUGCAGUGUUCUUUCUUGCAGAAAUUCAGCAAAUUUAAGUACAUUUUACUGAAUUUUUGGAGUUUUCCCUCAGUUUCAAUCACUCUACUUGGGUUUAGCAGAAAAGCAACAAAAAAUCUGAAAUUGAGUUGUUAAAUCGCGAAAAUGAGGAAGAUACCUUCUUUAGGAGCAAGAGUAACAAUGGC